rnacentral:rRNA from 1 species
GACGUAGGAUGCGAGCGUUGUUCGGAUUUAUUGGGCGUAAAGCGUACGUAGGCGGCUUGUUAAGUCUGGUGUUAAAGCUAGGGGCUCAACCCCUGUGAUGCACUGGAAACUGGCAGGCUUGAGUGUGGUAGGGGAAGGUGGAAUUCCGAGUGUAGCGGUGAAAUGCGUAGAUAUUCGGAAGAACACCGGUGGCGAAAGCGACCUUCUGGGCCAUUACUGACGCUGAGGUACGAAAGCUUGGGGAGCGAACGGG